rnacentral:rRNA from 2 species
UGGAUCCAGACUUUGAUUAUGGCUCAGGAUGAACGCUAGCUACAGGCUUAACACAUGCAAGUCGAGGGGCAGCGGGAUUGAAGCUUGCUUCAAUUGCCGGCGACCGGCGCACGGGUGAGUAACGCGUAUCCAACCUUCCGUACACUCAGGGAUAGCCUUUCGAAAGAAAGAUUAAUACCUGAUGGUAUGAUGAGAUUGCAUGAUAGCAUCAUUAAAGAUUUAUCGGUGUACGAUGGGGAUGCGUUCCAUUAGGUAGUAGGCGGGGUAACGGCCCACCUAGCCAACGAUGGAUAGGGGUUCUGAGAGGAAGGUCCCCCACAUUGGAACUGAGACACGGUCCAAACUCCUACGGGAGGCAGCAGUGAGGAAUAUCGGUCAAUGGACGAGAGUCUGAGCCAGCCAAGUAGCGUGAAGGAUGAAGGUCCUACGGAUUGUAAACUUCUUUUAUAAGGGAAUAAACCCUCCCACGUGUGGGAGCUUGUAUGUACCUUAUGAAUAAGCAUCGGCUAACUCCGUGCCAGCAGCCGCGGUAAUACGGAGGAUGCGAGCGUUAUCCGGAUUUAUUGGGUUUAAAGGGAGCGCAGACGGGUCGUUAAGUCAGCUGUGAAAGUUUGGGGCUCAACCUUAAAAUUGCAGUUGAUACUGGCGUCCUUGAGUGCGGUUGAGGUGUGCGGAAUUCGUGGUGUAGCGGUGAAAUGCUUAGAUAUCACGAAGAACUCCGAUUGCGAAGGCAGCACACUAAUCCGUAACUGACGUUCAUGCUCGAAAGUGUGGGUAUCAAACAGGAUUAGAUACCCUGGUAGUCCACACGGUAAACGAUGGAUACUCGCUGUUGGCGAUAUACUGUCAGCGGCUUAGCGAAAGCGUUAAGUAUCCCACCUGGGGAGUACGCCGGCAACGGUGCAACUCAAAGGAAUUGACGGA